UUAAGUCCCGCAACGAGCGCAACCCUUAUCAUUAGUUGCCAUCAUUCAGUUGGGCACUCUAAAGAGACUGCCGGUGUCAAACCGGAGGAAGGUGGGGAUGACGUCAAGUCCUCAUGGCCUUUAUGACCAGGGCUACACACGUACUACAAUGGCCGGUACAAAGGGCAGCCACUUAGCGAUAAGGAGCCAAUCCCGUAAAGCCGGUCUCAGUCCGGAUUGGAGUCUGCAACUCGACUCCAUGAAGUUGGAAUCGCUAGUAAUCGCAGAUCAGCACGCUGCGGUGAAUACGUUCCCGGGCCUU
rnacentral:rRNA from 1 species